rnacentral:rRNA from 1 species
CUACGGGCUGCACCAGCUGAGGAAAUUUUACAAUGCUCGCAAGAGUGAUAAAGUAAGCCAGAGUGUUUCUCUUAGAGAAACUUUUGUUUGCUCUAAAAAGGCAGACGAAUAAGGACUGGGCAAGACCGGUGCCAGCCGCCGCGGUAAUACCGGCGGUCCAAGUCGCAUCCACAUUUAUUGGGUCUAAAACAUCCGUAGCUUGUUUUGUAAGUCUCUUGUGAAAUCUCAUAUCUCAAGUAUGAGACGUGCAAGAGAUACUGCAUUGCUAGAGACCGGAAGACGUAAGGAGUACGAUUGAGGUAGCGGUAAAAUGUGUUAAUCUUGAUCGGACUAACAAUGGCGAAGGCACCUUACGAGUACGGAUCUGACAGUGAGGGAUGAAGGCUAGGGGCGCAAAAGGGAUUAGAUACCCCGGUAGUC